CUGGGAACCUGUUAUUCAACUGAGCAACCUGCUACUGGAGCUAAGAAGAGUUUCUAGAAACUUCUAGAUGUUUCCAGGCGCGUUUAUACUGCUGGUGGUCGCGUGCAUCCAGUGCACGCGCCAGCACCACUCAAAACCGUUAAAGGAGGAAUUUCUCACAGAAAACGACCGAGGGUUUUGCAGAGAAGAGUUAGGGUUAAGUUAUCCAGAUGUGGACAUUCAUUCCUGCGUGAUCAUUCCUCACGAGUUCAGAAAGAAGAUCAGUCAAGAAUGGGGACCUCCACAGGUUCGACUGGCCACGGCGAACACGAAUAAGAAAUACGUGCUGAUGAUGGUGGACCCUGACGCCCCCAGCCGUACUAACCCCACUCGAGCCCACUGGAGACACUGGCUGCUGGCUGACAUUGACGGAAGCUCACUCCGAGAUGGAGACAUUAAAGGCACUUUGCUAUCUGAGUACACUCGUCCUACACCUCCUCAGCAUACUGGCUUUCACCGUUACCAGUUCCUUUUGUAUGAGCAGCCCACAGGCCAGGUGCUGUCUCUCAGCCAACAGGAACAGAGCUCACUGGGAAACUGGGAUCCUCAAGCAUUUGUGGAGAAGUUUGGACUUGCUGGUCCGGUGGCCUCACUCCAGUUUCUUACUCAACACUUUAAAGAUUAGAUGACACCACACACCUGAACCAUAACAUACACCUUACGCAACUAUUCUACAAUCAGGGGAAAGUAAAAAUGGUGAUUGUUUUUCUCCCAGAUGAGUGUACAGUAGCAUACUGACAAAACCUGGCCCAGGGUCUCGUCUCUUCCUUGGAGAGUGUGUGAGCAAAUUAUGUAGUAAUCCAAAAUGUGGAAACUACACAACCACAGAAUGUAUUUAUACACAUUCUGAAGCAGUGUAUUUAACAUGUACUAAUAAUGGGAUGAUGUUGAGUAUUCACAAACACACACACACACUACUUUUUAUAACUCUUCUGCCACUCUUGCAUAAUCCACCCCUCACUUCCAGGCCACUGCAGCGGUGCAUCCCUGCUUUCUUGGCACUCAAACUCCUCCGGUUGCAUUCAGCAGUGCUGCCUCGUGCUCUGCUUUGGGGCUGUUUCAGCUCUGGGGAUUUCAGGUUUGUGUUUAAGACAUCCAAACGGAGAAAUAAACGACUCGAGGAACAGGUGAGAACGAUGAAUAGUGGCUACUGACACUUUUUUGAGAGGGUGUGUGGAAAUAUCUGAGUUGGAGAGGAAGUACGUCAGGGCCAAUAGAGGAAGAAGGGGGUGAAACCAACACCACAACACAGCCGGAAGCAACAGUGGAACUACGACUAAAAUACUCUCACAGCUACUUUCGGCCAGACGGUCUCAGAGUGACAGGAGGGGCACAAGUUCACUUUUUUUUUUAACCUUUGGUGAUGUGUUGUGGGUUUUUUUUUUUUUUUUUGUAAUGGGAGAGAGAAGUUUCGUAUUUGUGAAUGUGCCAGGCAAGUUUCCAUUGUGCAGUUUCUGUCUCACAUGCCCGAGUAGUUUUAUGUUUAUAUUCAGCAACAAAUUUACAUGAAGCACUAUUUCGAGGAGAAUUUGUCUAAUAAUGUCGUGUCACUUCAGAUCCGCAGAUGCAAAGGUUUCCAAACUGUCUGGACUAUUUUUACAACAUUAAUACAAACGGAUUGCGUUUUUAAAAUCACAUCUGUACCUGUGCGUGAUAAUCUAUUACAGAACUUACAAAACACGAUGAUUUCCCCACCAGCAUCAUAAACGUUAAAUAGUGUCAUGGAAAACGCCACCAUUUUACACCAGUGGAGGUAGUGAGCUAAACCUGUCAGUUUGCACUGCUGUAAAGAUCAAUCCCAAGCCUGAUCCAUCACUUUUUUCUUUCUCUCUCUUUCUCCCCCCCCUCCCCAUCUGUCCCUCUGAGUUACAUGUUGGUCCUGGGAUUGAGAUGCUGGCCUCGGACUUGCUUGAUCCAUCCUGGUGCCCUGUGUCUGGUUGGAGUUUUAUCGCAUCGCUCCUGUGGAGGACGGCCCCAUGAGGACAGUUGAGGGUUAUACAUGGAGGACGCUCUGGACUCUUACAGUAAUGCUUUUAUGGCUGAGGACUACAGCUGACUUGCUAACUUUAGGACUGCGGUUGUCAUGAACAGUUUUGCACUCAAGUUUCCAUCAAUGAAGAGUUUAUAACAUCAAUGAAACUGUCUUCAUGUUAAAACUGUUAAUGUUAUAGUCAUGCUGUCUGUUGUUGCCCAAAUGAGGAUGGGUUCCCUUUUGAGUCUGGUUCCUCUCGAGGUUUCUUUCUCAUGUCGUCUGAGGGAGUUUUUCCUUGCCACUGUCGCCACAGGCUUGCUCAUUGGGGAUAGAUUAGGGAUAAAAUUAGCUCAUGUUUUAAGUCGUUCAAAUUCUGUAAAGCUGCUUUGCGACAAUGUUUAUUGUUAAAAGCGCUAUACAAAUAAACUUGACUUUUUGUAAAAAUAACUAAAUAAAUUUUAAAAACCA